AUUGAACGCUGGCGGCAUGCCUUACACAUGCAAGUCGAACGGCAGCACGGGAGCUUGCUCCUGGUGGCGAGUGGCGAACGGGUGAGUAAUACAUCGGAACGUACCCUGAAGUGGGGGAUAACGUAGCGAAAGUUACGCUAAUACCGCAUAUUCUGUGAGCAGGAAAGAGGGGGAUCGCAAGACCUCUUGCUUUAGGAGCGGCCGAUGUCGGAUUAGCUAGUUGGUGAGGUAAAGGCUCACCAAGGCGACGAUCCGUAGCGGGUCUGAGAGGAU
rnacentral:rRNA from 1 species